rnacentral:rRNA from 1 species
GAUGAACGCUGACGGCGUGCCUAAUACAUGCAAGUCGAGCGAACGGACGAGAAGCUUGCUUCUCUGAUGUUAGCGGCGGACGGGUGAGUAACACGUGGAUAACCUACCUAUAAGACUGGGAUAACUUCGGGAAACCGGAGCUAAUACCGGAUAAUAUUUUGAACCGCAUGGUUCAAAAGUGAAAGACGGUCUUGCUGUCACUUAUAGAUGGAUCCGCGCUGCAUUAGCUAGUUGGUAAGGUAACGGCUUACCAAGGCAACGAUGCAUAGCCGACCUGAGAGGGUGAUCGGCCACACUGGAACUGAGACACGGUCCAGACUCCUACGGGAGGCAGCAGUAGGGAAUCUUCCGCAAUGGGCGAAAGCCUGACGGAGCAACGCCGCGUGAGUGAUGAAGGUCUUCGGAUCGUAAAACUCUGUUAUUAGGGAAGAACAUAUGUGUAAGUAACUGUGCACAUCUUGACGGUACCUAAUCAGAAAGCCACGGCUAACUACGUGCCAGCAGCCGCGGUAAUACGUAGGUGGCAAGCGUUAUCCGGAAUUAUUGGGCGUAAAGCGCGCGUAGGCGGUUUUUUAAGUCUGAUGUGAAAGCCCACGGCUCAACCGUGGAGGGUCAUUGGAAACUGGAAAACUUGAGUGCAGAAGAGGAAAGUGGAAUUCCAUGUGUAGCGGUGAAAUGCGCAGAGAUAUGGAGGAACACCAGUGGCGAAGGCGACUUUCUGGUCUGUAACUGACGCUGAUGUGCGAAAGCGUGGGGAUCAAACAGGAUUAGAUACCCUGGUAGUCCACGCCGUAAACGAUGAGUGCUAAGUGUUAGGGGGUUUCCGCCCCUUAGUGCUGCAGCUAACGCAUUAAGCACUCCGCCUGGGGAGUACGACCGCAAGGUUGAAACUCAAAGGAAUUGACGGGGACCCGCACAAGCGGUGGAGCAUGUGGUUUAAUUCGAAGCAACGCGAAGAACCUUACCAAAUCUUGACAUCCUUUGACAACUCUAGAGAUAGAGCCUUCCCCUUCGGGGGACAAAGUGACAGGUGGUGCAUGGUUGUCGUCAGCUCGUGUCGUGAGAUGUUGGGUUAAGUCCCGCAACGAGCGCAACCCUUAAGCUUAGUUGCCAUCAUUAAGUUGGGCACUCUAAGUUGACUGCCGGUGACAAACCGGAGGAAGGUGGGGAUGACGUCAAAUCAUCGUGCCCCUUAUGAUUUGGGCUACACACGUGCUACAAUGGACAAUACAAAGGGCAGCGAAACCGCGAGGUCAAGCAAAUCCCAUAAAGUUGUUCUCAGUUCGGAUUGUAGUCUGCAACUCGACUACAUGAAGCUGGAAUCGCUAGUAAUCGUAGAUCAGCAUGCUACGGUGAAUACGUUCCCGGGUCU